GAGGUUUUUAAAAAAUUGUUUCUGUAAACUUUCCCGAAAACGACUUGAUUGUCUAUCCUAAACGCUAUCAAAGAGGAUUAUAUGCACGCCAGGGACGGAUCCAAAAUCUUAUCACACCGGGGCCGAAAAAUAGUAACAUUAAUGAAUUUUGUAUAUAGAUUAUUUUUGUGUAGAUUGUCGACGUGAAUUUUUUAUGUUACCAUAUUAUAAGUAUGAAUUUUUCACCUUCGAUUAAUCUCCAUUGGAAAAUAUGUAAAGUACACAAAAUAAUUAAUUCUUCCCUCCGAGUCAAAUAUUUUGAUUUAUAGC
rnacentral:lncRNA from 1 species